rnacentral:lncRNA from 10 species
GGAGGUCCUCCCACUGAGGGUGCUUGUAGUUCGCGGAGUGUCCUCAUCAAAGACUGGGAAUGCGGCAGAUGCUGAAUUUUCCAAACGGCCUGAGACACAUGACAUCUGAAAGAAAAUGGACUUUACGUUGGUAAAGGUGAAACAACAUACAAAGAGGACUGAAACUUGAGACAGGUGGUACUUGUAUGCCUGAGAGACCAAAAUGCUGAUUCCGUUUACCUUCCUGGAAACUGUAAAACUAACCAAUCAGAGGAUCAGGUCAUUGAGAAGAAGAAACUUGCCCAACCUAAGAUGCGUAGGCUGAAACGACUACUGACAGAUGUACUUCAAAAAGAAGGAAAUUGAAUCCAAAAGGAAGAAGCAAGAUGUAAGAAGAAAUAUUGAACAAGGAAACUGAAUAAAAUUUGGAGAAACUAAGUAUUGACAUAUAAAUAAUGUAUUAUAACCAAGAAAAUUAAGAUGCUAUAACAUGAAAGAAGA